UACGUAGGGUGCGAGCGUUAAUCGGAUUUACUGGGCGUAAAGCGUGCGCAGGCGGCUUGUUAAGCAAGAUGUGAAAUCCCCGGGCUCAACCUGGGAAUGGCAUUUUGAACUGGCAGGCUCGAGUUCUGAAGAGGGUGGUAGAAUUUCCAGUGUAGCGGUGAAAUGCGUAGAUAUUGGAAGGAAUACCGGUGGCGAAGGCGGCCCCCUGGACAAAGACUGACGCUCAGGCACGAAAGCGUGGGGAGCAAACAGG
rnacentral:rRNA from 1 species